GAUGAACGCUGGCGGCGUGCCUAAUACAUGCAAGUCGAACGAAACUUCUUUAUCACCGAGUGCUUGCACUCACCGAUAAAGAGUUGAGUGGCGAACGGGUGAGUAACACGUGGGCAACCUGCCCAAAAGAGGGGGAUAACACUUGGAAACAGGUGCUAAUACCGCAUAACCAUAGUUACCGCAUGGUAACUAUGUAAAAGGUGGCUAUACUACCGCUUUUGGAUGGGCCCGCGGCGCAUUAGCUAGUUGGUAGGGUAAAGGCUUACCAAGGCAAUGAUGCGUAGCCGAAUUGAGAGGUUGAUCGGCCACAUUGGGACUGAGACACGGCCCAAACUCCUACGGGGGGCAGCAGUAGGGAAUCUUCCACAAUGGGCGAAAGCCUGAUGGAGCAACGCCGCGUGGGUGAAGAAGGUCUUCGGAUCGUAAAACCCUGUUGUUAGAGAAGAAAGUGCGUGAGAGUAACUGUUCACGUUUCGACGGUAUCUAACCAGAAAGCCACGGCUAACUACGUG
rnacentral:rRNA from 1 species